GGUCAAGCGUUAAGAGCGCAGGGUGGAUGCCUUGGCACUAAGAGCCGAUGAAAGACGUGAUAAGCUGCGAAAAGCUUCGGGGAGGAGCAAAUAUCCAAUGAUCCGGAGAUGUCUGAAUGGGGAAACCCGGCUGAGCAGACCUCAGUCAUCCAUACGCCAAUCCAUAACGUAUGGAGGGGAACCGCCUGAACUGAAACAUCUAAGUAGGGCGAGGAGAAGAAAGAAAACUCGAUUUCCAAAGUAGCGGCGAGCGAAAUGGAAAGAGGCCAAACCGGAGUGCGUGCACUCCGGGGUUCGGACCGCGUAAUUGAUUCUGUGAUUCUAGUGGAACGGUUUUGGGAAAGCAGACCAGAGAGGGUGAAAGUCCCGUACACGAAAGGAAAACAGACAUGGCGGUAUCCAGAGUAGGUCGAGACACGUGGAACCUUGACUGAACACGCGGGGACCACCCCGUAAGCCUAAAUACUCCUUAGUGACCGAUAGCGCAUAGUACUGUGAAGGAAAGGUGAAAAGGACCCCGGGAGGGGAGUGAAAGAGAACCUGAAACCCUGUGUUUACAAGCUGUGGAAGAACUUUAUACGUUCAACCGCGUACUUUUUGUAGAACGGUCCGGCGAGUUGCCGGGACUGGCGAGGUUAAGGACUUAAGGUCCGGAGCCGAAGGGAAACCAAGUCUUAACAGGGCGUUCUAGUCAGUUCAGGCAGACCCGAAACCGGGUGAUCUACCCAUGUCCAGGUUGAAGUUGCCGUAAAAGGCAAUGGAGGACCGAACGCACAUCCGUUGAAAAGGGUGGCGAUGAGGUGUGGGUAGGGGAGAAAUUCCAAUCGAACCCGGAGAUAGCUGGUUCUCCUCGAAAUAGCUUUAGGGCUAGCCUCGAUGGAGUCUAAUGGAGGUAGAGCACUGAAUUUCCUAGGGGGCGUCAAAGCUUACCGAAGAAUAUCAAACUCCGAAUGCCAUAUAGAUGCUCAUCGGGAGUCAGACUGCACGAGAUAAGUUGGGCAGUCAAAAGGGAAAGAGCCCAGACCUGCAGCUAAGGUCCCAAAGUGCGUGUUAAGUGGAAAAGGAUGUGGGAUUUCAAAGACAACCAGGAUGUUGGCUUAGAAGCAGCCAUACAUUAAAAGAGUGCGUAAUAGCUCACUGGUCGAGAGGUCCUGCGCCGAAAAUGUCCGGGGCUAAAACACGACACCGAAGCUCAGGAAUGUACGAACGUACAUUGGUAGAGGAGCAUUCUUAAUCAGGACGAAGCGUCACUGGAAAGAGGCGUGGACGGUUAAGAAGAGAGAAUGCCGGAAUGAGUAGCGAGAGGAAGGUGGGAAUCCUUCCGGCCGAAUAUCCAAGGUUUCCAGGGUAAAGCUGAUCUGCCCUGGGUAAGUCGGGACCUAAGGCGAGGUCGAGAGACGUAGCCGAUGGACAACAGGUUGAGAUUCCUGUACUGCUGUAUAACAGAACUGUGGGGACACGUGUGGAGAGUGUGAGCCGGGUAUGGAAAGACCGGUGCAAGCGGGGUAGGAGUUAAGCAGGCAAAUCCGCUUAGCAAUCCGAAGACGUGACGCGGACCGAACUAAAGUAGGGAAGCACAUGAGCCAUGCGUCGAGAAAAGCCGCUAUUGUUUAUACAGUACCCGUACCGUAAACCGACACAGGUAGAUGAGGAGAGAAUCCUAAGGCCGACGGAAGAAGCAUUGUUAAGGAACUCGGCAAAAUGACCCCGUAACUUCGGGAGAAGGGGUGCCUGCGAGAGCAGGCCGCAGAGAAUAGGCUCAAGCAACUGUUUAGCAAAAACACAGGUCUAUGCGAAACCGAAAGGUGAGGUAUAUGGGCUGACGCCUGCCCGGUGCUGGAAGGUUAAGGGGAGGGCUUAGCGCAAGCGAAGGUCUGAACUUAAGCCCCAGUAAACGGCGGCCGUAACUAUAACGGUCCUAAGGUAGCGAAAUUCCUUGUCGGGUAAGUUCCGACCCGCACGAAAGGCGUAAUGAUUUGAGCACUGUCUCGACAAUGCAUCCGGUGAAAUUGAAGUACCAGUGAAGAUGCUGGUUACCCGCGCCAGGACGGAAAGACCCCAUGGAGCUUUACUCCAGCUUGAUACUGGGAUUCGGUAUUGCAUGUACAGGAUAGGUGGGAGGCU
rnacentral:rRNA from 1 species